rnacentral:tRNA from 1 species
GCCACCGUAGCUCAGAGGCAGAGCGGCUGAUUUGUAAUCAGUUGGUCGGGGGUUCGAUUCCCUCCGGUGGCU